UGCACAUUAUAUGUUUCCCUGUAGCAUUGGCAUCCCCUAGCAUUUCAGCUUUGCAUGCUGACAAAUUCUUGGAAUGGCCAGCACGAGAAAUCUCCUAAGAUCCAGUCUAUGUUGCACAGAUACGGAUACGGGGAUACGGAUACGACACGAUACGGAUACGGUGAUACGGCAAUUUCUAAAAUUUCUAGGAUACGAUACGCGGAAUAUACUUAAAUAAAAUAUUAUUUUAAAUAUAUUUAAAUGUAUGUUGAUUAUAUGUAAUGAUAUAUUGAGAACAAUUAGAAUAUCUAGACUAUAUUAAGGAAUAUAUUCUAAUAUGCAUUAACUUGUAUAAUUAUUCUACAUAUGUUUAUAAAAAAAGAUAAUCAAUCAUAUAAAAUAAUAAUUCAAAAAGUAUCAAACCAACUAUCAUUCAACUUGAUCAAAUGAUAACAAUAAAUAUAUAGUCGCACAAACUAGAUAAUUAAUCAUUCAAUAUAUAUGUCUGAUUUGUUAGUUCUAUUAUUAAAAUAGUAAUAAAAAAUAUGCUAACAAUUUAAUAGAGAAGGAAAAAAAAAUCAUAUUUUCUAUAGCCUUUGUUGCUUAAUACUAGGUUGACAAAUUAGAUGAAAGAGAGUAAAUACUGUGUGAAGAUAGAACGAGAGGGAGCGCCUUCUACCAUUCAAGAACAAAAAGAUAGAUGAAGUGACAAAUUGAAUAGAUAUUGGUGUUUUUCUCACUCUUUUCCUUCUUUCCAAUAGGUUUGGACGUGAGAUUUUAAAAAAAUUUUAAGUUUCAAUCAUUUUAGACCAAAAAAGAACCGGGCCGUGUCCCCCCCGUAUCCCCCCGUAUCCCUCACGUAUCCGAGCCGUAUCCGAUAUUUUUUUAUUUUUUAAAAAUGCUAGAUACUUCAUUCCCGUAUCGGACACGUAUCGGUCGCGUAUCGGGCGCGUAUCGGUAUCCGAUACGUAUCCGAUACGGAUACGGCAUGAAAUUUGAAGUAUCCGUGGUUCAUAGGAUCCAGUCUAGUGAACAAGGAAAGUAUGUAAAAUAUCAAUACAAGAUCUAAACUGUCUCCCAUUAAUCACAAAAUUAUAUUCCUAUUUCAUUAUCAUUCCAACAGCAAGUGCCAUUUUAUUACUCCGCCAAACCGCUCUCCAGCAGUUAUCUUGCAUAAUCAUUCACAAUCUCUAUGUAACUUCGCUAAUAGUCUAAAGGUUACGAACUAACAAUCCACAACUAUAUCGAUCAAGCCCAAAAAAAGAAAUAACAACAAAAAAGAAAAGCAUAUCAAAGGAAACUGAAGACAAAGCAUACGCAUGAAACGAUACCCAAUGUUUGCAAUCGACUAAUAUAAAGAAUUAGAAAGCUACCCCAAACAAGUAAGAGACGAGCAAUAUAACAGAAACAAAUUAAAAACCAAUGCAAAAGUAGGC
rnacentral:lncRNA from 1 species